AGAGUUUGAUCCUGGCUCAGAGCGAACGCUGGCGGCAGGCUUAACACAUGCAAGUCGAGCGCCCCGCAAGGGGAGCGGCGGACGGGUGAGUAACACGUGGGAACGUGCCCUUCAGUUCGGGAUAACCAAGGGAAACUUUGGCUAACACCGGAUACGCCCUUAGGGGGAAAGGUUACGCUGAAGGAGCGGCCCGCGUCUGAUUAGCUUGUUGGUGGGGUAAUGGCCCACCAAGGCUACGAUCAGUAGCUGGUCUGAGAGGAUGAUCAGCCACACUGGGACUGAGACACGGCCCAGACUCCUACGGGAGGCAGCAGUGGGGAAUCUUGCGCAAUGGGGGAAACCCUGGCGCAGCCAUGCCGCGUGUAUGAUGAAGGUCUUAGGAUUGUAAAAUACUUUCACCGGGGACGAUAAUGACGGUACCCGGAGAAGAAGCCCCGGCUAACUUCGUGCCAGCAGCCGCGGUAAUACGAAGGGGGCUAGCGUUGCUCGGAUUUACUGGGCGUAAAGGGCGCGUAGGCGGAUGACCAAGUUGGGGGUGAAAGCCCGGGGCUCAACCUCGGAAUUGCCUUCAAAACUGGUCGUCUUGAGUAUGAGAGGGGUGUGUGGAACUCCGAGUGUAGAGGUGAAAUUCGUAGAUAUUCGGAAGAACACCAGUGGCGAAGGCGACACACUGGCUCAUUACUGACGCUGAGNNNCGAAAGCGUGGGGAGCAAACAGGAUUAGAUACCCUAGUAGUCC
rnacentral:rRNA from 1 species